AUUGAACGCUGGCGGAAUGCUUUACACAUGCAAGUCGAACGGCAGCACGGGGCAACCUGGUGGCGAGUGGCGAACGGGUGAGUAAUACAUCGGAACGUGCCCAAUCGUGGGGGAUAACGUAGCGAAAGUUACGCUAAUACCGCAUACGAUCUACGGAUGAAAGCGGGGGAUCGCAAGACCUCGCGCGAGUGGAGCGGCCGAUGUCAGAUUAGGUAGUUGGUGGGGUAAAGGCUCACCAAGCCAACGAUCUGUAGCUGGUCUGAGAGGACGACCAGCCACACUGGAACUGAGACACGGUCCAGACUCCUACGGGAGGCAGCAGUGGGGAAUUUUGGACAAUGGGCGCAAGCCUGACCCAGCCAUUCCGCGUGCAGGAUGAAGGCCUUCGGUUGUAACUGCUUUGUUACGGAACGAAACGGCGAGCUCUAAUACAGUUGCUAAUGACGGUACCGUAAGAAUAAG
rnacentral:rRNA from 1 species